ensembl:lncRNA
UAGCUGACCUGCUAAUGCUUUAAAGUAAAGCUCAGAAAACACAGCGAACUAGCAUUGGCGUUACCAUGGCUAACAAAAGAACAGGGAAAAUAGCGGUAACGGUUCGUGUGUUUAUGUUAUUUUUAUUCUGUAUUUUUUAUCUAAUUCAAGUCCCACGUUUAAUGCAGUUUAACUUUAAGCUUAUUCGAGGGUUUAUAAGCACAAGUACAACAUGUAUGACCUGAAACGGCUAGUGAAGGAGAAAGGAUAUGAAGAGAAACUGAAUCCGUCAUAACAAAACCUCUGGUCAGUAUGGAACAUAACUAUGUUAGUCCAUUUUUCUACACUGCAAGGAUGGCACCGCCUCAGUAGGACAUUGCGUUGCUCAUACCGGUCAAGAGGAGCCACCUGAGCACAUUGUAGCGUUUUACCUUUUACGAUCGUUCGCACCUCACGGUUAGCAUUAGCCACUUGCUAACGAGGACGAGCUGGCUCACCUGGCCGCUAUUGCGUCGGCAGCACUACGGUCCUCCCUGGUCGGGCGGCGUGGGGGUGUGGAAAUAACAGCAUGCGACAAGACAGAAGAGGGACCUGAAUGUCUGACCUUUAGGAGACCCUGGCCUAGAGGACUGUUUCAGUUUAUAAACGACAUCAGAGACAUAAUGACCAACAUGAAGAGGCCCACAAGAGGAGACAGAUGGACACAAAUCUUGAUUGUUCACAACACCAAUUUGUCAUCAUCAGCACCAUCAGCAUCAUCAGGAAAACCAGACAAAAUCACUGGUUUUUGCAACAUCAGCAUAAUCAACCAUUGGUUUGGACAUAAUCAAUAAAUGUUGAUCAGUCAAUCAAUAAGUCAAUCAAUCAAACAAUCAAUCAACCAAUCAACCGUCAUGUUCACUCAGAAAUACAUUGACAGUGACCCCCAUUUCCAGUGC